GUAAGCUGCUUACAUCUUGGCAGAUGAACCUGAUUCAUUACUUGUUUGGCUUAGGUUUCAAGGAUUUUGCAGGAGUGGGGAGGUCAGGGAUGUAAUUAUAAAAUUACUGAAGGAAACUUAUAUAUGUAUUUUGAUUUUUAGUCAACUGUUUAACAUUGCAUUUUUAAAGAUUGCCUUCUUGGGAACUGGUCCUUUAAAUCUGGCAGCCACAAGGAGUUGCAGCCCUAGGGUAGCCAUUUUGUAAUAAACUGCUGUAUAUUGAAUCUUCCCUCUCUCCCAGCUGGAACAAACAACAAAAACCUUAUGAACUCUUGCUCUUUCUUGGUAUUGAUGGGAGGUAUUGAAAUACAACAAAAGAAGCUGAAAUCAAUGAAGGCCUUUCCUCCCUGCUGGUCUUUCACACCCUCAAUUCCACAUCGUGUUGAGCUGGUUUUUGAUUUGGCAGCACUUCCUCACAGUGGCUGUCAGGAGACACUGCUGAUUUUGUGCAGAAGUAUAACAAGCCCUGCCAUUCUACCUGAUGGUCAACUAGAAAGAGUUUGGAGGAGGGAAGGGAAUGGAUUAGUGUUUUUAAGGAAAGUUAGGCAAGAUAGCUGAACAGCCCCUCAUAAAUCGGAAUAGUUUUGCCUGAAUCAGAACAACUGCUUCCAUUUAAAAUAAGCAUAUUUAAAUAUUUAAGAAAAGUAGCUGCUUCUUCUAAAUGAGAAAAAAUGACCAUUGCGGCACAGCGCUGGGGAUGCUGAAACACAAAUCAAACAUCGUCAGAUAACUAGAGUGCUGUUAGUAAAGGAGAGAGAAAAGAGCAGAACAAAAUGUGGUUUGCUCCUGAUUUCCAUAAACAAAAUUUUCCAUUCUCGAUUGACCAGAAUUGCUCUGUAAGAUACACCUAAUAAAUGCGUAGUAAAUUAAAAGGCAGUUAAGAGUGUUGUGAAGAGUAGAACCUGUUGUGUGGGCCUUAGAAGAGAAACUUCCAUGUUCCAUGUCGUUAUGUAGUAUUUUUCUUUUGUUAUGCCACUGGUGCUUUUUGAGCCUUUAACUGAAAUCUAGCAGGGACUCCGUGGGCACCAGUGUGCUGGUUUUCACACCGGCAACAGCUGCUUUGGUUAGCCAACACACUAAAUAUAGUAAUUUGCCAUGUAGCCAACAACAGUGAUAGCACAUCAAAAAGAGAUUCUCUGCCAUAGCAGGGAUUCUUAAUGUGCUCGGGAUGAUAGAUGGGCUGUUCUUGCACCUCGCAGAAUGAUGCCGCUUUUCAAAAUGGAAAGCGGCAUGUGUGACCACCAAUAUCUUACAUUGAAUUAUUGGCUUCUGUCAUGAUGCCUGUGUUUUAGCCAACUCUGGUCUUGGAAAAUUAUUUUUAUUCUAGUGACAUCUCUGAUAAAAGAGACAUCAGUAAAUAUUUUCCCUGAGAAAUGUGUUCUAAAGGUUUACAGGUAACAGGAACUGUCCUUUGUAGAGCCUGCCUAUGAAUCUCACCAAGUAAAAUAAAAACAUUUUUGACAAAAAUUUCAAGUGGAAACACAUAACUGGUCAUAUCAGCAGGUAUCUCACUUAAAUGAUCACGGUCUAUGCUACAGUCAUUGCAAAUGCUCUUCCAGAAUCGAUGGCAUCUCCCUUAUAGACCUAGGAAAAAACCUUGCAUCUGCGUAAUGUGCUGCAUUCUUCACAAUAUUUUUCUGUUCCAUUAUGCUUUAUAUCAUUUAUUGGGAUAAAAUGGCUUUGAUUCCCAAAGGUGUUAUAAAAUACUGCAAUACACAUCCUUCACCAUAACCUGACAAGAUAAUUUUGGCAUCAUCACUGGGAGGUCCCAGUCAACCUAAGAUUGAUUGAAAUGUACCCUUCCUCCUUAAUGGAUGGAACUGUACCUGUA